UGGAUCCAGACUUUGAUCAUGGCUCAGGACGAACGCUGGCAGCGCGCCUAACACAUGCAAGUCGAACGGGGUUAUACUGGAUGAAGUUUUCGGAUGGAAUUUGGUAUAACCUAGUGGCGGACGGGUGAGUAACACGUGAGCAACCUGCCUAUCAGAGGGGGAUAACGAUUGGAAACGAUCGCUAAUACCGCAUGACAUAGCGGAACCGCAUGGUUCUGUUAUCAAAGAUUUUAUCGCUGAUAGAUGGGCUCGCGUCCGAUUAGAUAGUUGGUGGGGUAACGGCCUACCAAGUCGACGAUCGGUAGCCGGACUGAGAGGUCGAACGGCCACAUUGGGACUGAGACACGGCCCAGACUCCUACGGGAGGCGGCAGUGGGGGAUAUUGCACAAUGGGGGAAACCCUGAUGCAGCGACGCCGCGUGAGGGAAGACGGUCCUCUGGAUUGUAAACCUCUGUCUUCGGGGACGAAAGUAGACGGUACCCGAGGAGGAAGCCACGGCUAACUACGUGCCAGCAGCCGCGGUAAUACGUAGGUGGCAAGCGUUGUCCGGAAUUACUGGGUGUAAAGGGAGCGUAGGCGGGCAGGCAAGUCAGGCGUGAAAUAUAUCGGCUCAACCGGUAACGGCGCUUGAAACUGCAGGUCUUGAGUGAAGUAGAGGUUGGCGGAAUUCCUAGUGUAGCGGUGAAAUGCGUAGAUAUUAGGAGGAACACCAGUGGCGAA
rnacentral:rRNA from 1 species